rnacentral:rRNA from 1 species
AGUAACGCGUGGGUAACCUGCCAUAUACAGGGGGAUAACAGCGAGAAAUUGCUGCUAAAACCGCAUAAGCGCACGGAGUCGCAUGACUCAGUGUGAAAAACUCCGGUGGUAUAUGAUGGACCCGCGUCUGAUUAGCCAGUUGGCAGGGUAACGGCCUACCAAAGCGACGAUCAGUAGCCGGCCUGAGAGGGUGGACGGCCACAUUGGGACUGAGACACGGCCCAAACUCCUACGGGAGGCAGCAG